rnacentral:siRNA from 1 species
AGAUGUGUUGGAAACUCGGAUG